rnacentral:rRNA from 1 species
CCUACGGGGGGCAGCAGUGGGGAAUUUUGGACAAUGGGGGCAACCCUGAUCCAGCCAUGCCGCGUGCGGGAAGAAGGCCUUCGGGUUGUAAACCGCUUUCAGACGGAAAGAAACAGUGCAAGUUAAUAACUUGCAUCAAUGACGGUACCGUCAGAAGAAGCACCGGCUAACUACGUGCCAGCAGCCGCGGUAAUACGUAGGGUGCGAGCGUUAAUCGGAAUUACUGGGCGUAAAGAGUGCGCAGGCGGCUCUCUAAGACAGGUGUGAAAUCCCCGGGCUUAACCUGGGAAUGGCGCUUGUGACUGGAGAGCUAGAGUGUGGCAGAGGGGAAUGGAAUUCCUGGUGUAGCAGUGAAAUGCGUAGAUAUCAGGAGGAACACCGAUGGCGAAGGCAGUUCCCUGGGCCAACACUGACGCUCAUGCACGAAAGCGUGGGGAGCAAACAGGAUUAGAUACCCCAGUAGUC